rnacentral:lncRNA from 1 species
ACAAAGUUCACAGUGUCGAUACAUGCAAAAUAACAAAAGUUAUGCCAUCAAUUCUAAGCUGCUACCAUGGUGUUAGCAUAGAAGUCAUCCUCACUGCCUCCUAGUCUUACCCUUACCCUUGUGGCCAAGAGCAUCGGUGCCUGGAGUGUACCUAGAAGGCGAACGACGUCGCCUUCUUGCAACCUGCGUAGGCUGAGUAGAAGGAGCAUCAGGAAGCUGAGAUAACCCAAGCUCGUCAUAGUCACGCUCCUCGGCCAC